rnacentral:rRNA from 5 species
UUAAAUUGAAGAGUUUGAUCAUGGCUCAGAUUGAACGCUGGCGGCAGGCCUAACACAUGCAAGUCGAACGGUAACAGGAAGCAGCUUGCUGCUUUGCUGACGAGUGGCGGACGGGUGAGUAAUGUCUGGGAAACUGCCUGAUGGA